CUACGGGUGGCUGCAGUGGGGAAUAUUGGACAAUGGGCGCAAGCCUGAUCCAGCCAUGCCGCGUGAGUGAUGAAGGCCCUAGGGUUGUAAAGCUCUUUCACCGGUGAAGAUAAUGACGGUAACCGGAGAAGAAGCCCCGGCUAACUUCGUGCCAGCAGCCGCGGUAAUACGAAGGGGGCUAGCGUUGUUCGGAUUUACUGGGCGUAAAGCGCACGUAGGCGGACUAUUAAGUCAGGGGUGAAAUCCCGGGGCUCAACCCCGGAACUGCCUUUGAUACUGGUAGUCUUGAGUUCGAGAGAGGUGAGUGGAAUUCCGAGUGUAGAGGUGAAAUGCGCAGAUAUUCGGAGGAACACCAGUGGCGAAGGCGGCUCACUGGCUCGAUACUGACGUUGAGGUGCGAAAGCGUGGGGAGCAAACAGGAUUAGAUACCCGCGUAGUC
rnacentral:rRNA from 1 species